AGUAAUACAUAAGUAACCUGCCCUAGACAGGGGGAGUAACUAUUGGAAACGAAUAGCUAAGACCGCAUAGGUACGGACACUGCAUGGUGACCGUAUUAAAAGUGCCUCAAAGCACUGGUAGAGGAUGGACUUAUGGCGCAUUAGCUGGUUGGCGGGGUAACGGCCCACCAAGGCGACGAUGCGUAGCCGACCUGAGAGGGUGACCGGCCACACUGGGACUGAGACACGGCCCAG
rnacentral:rRNA from 1 species